GACGAACGCUGGCGGCGUGCCUAACACAUGCAAGUCGAGCGGGGUUGAAGCGAGAGGUAACUCGAACUUCUACCUAGCGGCGGACGGGUGAGUAACGCGUGGGCAACCUGCCUCAAGGUUUGGGAUAACAGCCCGAAAGGGCUGCUAAUACCGGAUAUGCCUAUGGCCUCGCAUGGGGCUAUGAGCAAAGGGGAAACCCGCCUUGAGAUGGGCCCGCGUCCCAUCAGCUAGUUGGUGAGGUAACAGCUCACCAAGGCGACGACGGGUAGCCGGCCUGAGAGGGUGACCGGCCACACUGGGACUGAGACACGGCCCAGACUCCUACGGGGGGCAGCAGUGGGGGAUCUUGCACAAUGGGCGAAAGCCUGAUGCAGCGGCGCCGCGUGAGCGAAGAAGGCCUUCGGGUUGUAAAGGCUCUGUCUGGAGGGACGAACAAAAUGACGGUACCUCCGGAGGAAGCCACGGCUAACGUACGUGCCCAGCCAGCCGCGGUAAUCAUACUCGUA
rnacentral:rRNA from 1 species